rnacentral:rRNA from 1 species
ACCUUUUGCAUCAUGAUUUAGCCAGUGUUAUACAAGCGAAGAGUACUGUAGUUUGAUAACCCGAAACUAGGUGAGCUACUUCAAGACAGCCUGUAUUACAGGGCAAACCCGUCUCUGUGGCAAAAGAGUGGGAAGAACUUUGAGUAGCGGUGACAAACCUAUCGAACCUAGUUAUAGCUGGUUGCCCGGGAUUUGGAUAGGAGUUCAGCCUCCCGGUAUUCUCUUUUCACCUAAGCUUACAUCUUUUGAUCUAGAGAAACCGUGAGAGUUAUUCAAAGGGGGUACAGCCCCUUUGAAACAAGAUACAACUUUACCAGGAGGAUAAAGAUCAUAAUGAAUUAAAGGUUUAAUAUUUAGGUGGGCUUAAAAGCAGCCAUCCCUAUAGAAAGCGUUAAAGCUCGGACAUACCAUGCCCCCCCCCCAUUCUGAUCAUACAAUCUUAUUCCCCUAAACCUUACCGUGCCGUUCUAUGCUCAACAUAGAAGCGACCAUGCUAAUAUGAGUAAUAAGAGGGCUAAAAGCCCUCUCCCCGCACACAUGUACCUCGGAACGGACCCCCCACCGAAACUUAACGGCCCCAAACAAAGAGGGUACUGGAAAAUAAUUAAAAAACAAGAAAAACACCCAGCAACAAACCGUUAACCCUACACAGGUGUGCAUCUAAGGAAAGACUAAAGGAAAGAGAAGGAACUCGGCAAACACAUGAAGCCUCGCCUGUUUACCAAAAACAUCGCCUCUUGCAAAAAUAACGAAUAAGAGGUCCCGCCUGCCCUGUGACUAUAUGUUUAACGGCCGCGGUAUUUUGACCGUGCGAAGGUAGCGCAAUCACUUGUCUUUUAAAUGGAGACCUGUAUGAAUGGCAUAACGAGGGCUUAGCUGUCUCCUCUUUCUAGUCAAUGAAAUUGAUCUUCCCGUGCAGAAGCGGGAAUUACACCAUAAGACGAGAAGACCCUAUGGAGCUUUAGACACUAAAGUAGCUCAKGUUAAGUACCCCUCCUCMCAGGGAAUUAAACAARAUGGGCCCUACCCUAAUGUCUUUGGUUGGGGCGACCGCGGGGAAUACAAAACCCCCACGUGGAAUAGGAGCACCCUGCUCCUUUAACUCAGAGCCACAGCUCUAAGUAACAGAAUUUCUGACCGAUACAGAUCCGGCAAUGCCGAUCAACGGACCGAGUUACCCUAGGGAUAACAGCGCAAUCCCCUUUUAGAGCCCAUAUCGACAAGGGGGUUUACGACCUCGAUGUUGGAUCAGGACAUCCUAAUGGUGCAGCCGCUA